AGAGUCUCACUGUCCCAUCUUCAGCAGCAGAAAGGAAGAAGUCCCUGGAGGGAUGUGUUGCGAGUCCCCAGAUUGGCCCAUCCACAUGGCCAUUAACUAAAAUGUUACAUGCUGCAUUUUUCUCUCCAACUUCAAUUAUUUCCGAAUUCCUUGUCCCAACUAGUAUCUUGCCCUGAAAUACAAAAGGACCAAUAUACUUAAUGCGAUACAAUAGUUACAUGCUUUGAGCUAAUAUAGUUGUAAAGCGAGCAUUAGUUCAUACGAACAUUUCUAUUCCUAGGGCCACACAACUGCAACAUCGCUGGGCUACUACAUGGGAGAGUCAGUGCUAGAGACUAUAAUGAUGCCCUUCCACGCUUCAGUCGCAGAGUUUUGGCUUUGACUAUGAUAACUUUAGGACCUCCAGAUUGGAAAAUAAGUGCAUUGACACACAGGGAGAAAGAACUGGAAUUCAUCUUUAAGUUAGUGAAUGCUAGGUGUGGUGCCGUACACCCGUAAUACCAACACCCGGAGGCUGAGGAGGGAUAACUGCAAAUUCCAGGCCAGCGUGGACUACACAGCAAGGACUUGUCUCAAUAGUAGAAAUUUUAAAGUAAACCUAACGAGGCUUUAAGUAUACAGACAGGACAGCACAUGCAUGCGAUUUAUAGACCUGCAGUGCAAGUGCAUGACACUCUUUACAGAGAUGUAUGAGGUUUUGUUGCUUUUAAGGGAAGCAGAAUAGGGGAAAUUAAGGGACACUGAAAGAGGAAAAAUCCUAGGGCAUCUGAUUUCUUUUUUCCCCUAACUGCAAAUCAAGAAUUGGAUGCACUUAAAAACAAAACAAACCUCUGCCCCAAUUCAUCAGAAAGACUUCUCUCCUCCUCUCCUCUCUUCCCCUCCCCUCCCCCUGUCUUUAUUUAUAUUUAUUUUUAUUUGAGGUGGGGAGAGGUUGAGACAGGGUUUCUCUGUUCCCCUGGCUGUCCUGGAACUCACUCUGUAGCUCAGGCUGGCAUCAAACUCAGAGAUCUGCCUGCCUCUGCCUCAGCCUCCUGAGUGCUGGGAUUCAAGGUGGUGCCCAGCUACUAAGACUUUUUAAACAACAAUAAUCCUUUUCUGUGAGACAACUGAACUCAAGCGUGUACAACAGCUGAGUUGAGUAAGAGUGCACAUCUUUAAUCCACCCAGGAAGCUAAGGCAAGACCAAAGUGGGUUCUCUUGGAGUUUAAUCUCGUCAGUAUCCAUCCCUCACCCAUUGAUACAAACAGUGCCUCUCACAAGCCACCUUACAAUAUUAAUAAAAAGGUCUAUUUUUAAAUGCAGGAUAAGUAAACUACAUCAUUUUAAAACCUUUAAAUUUUAAAUUUUAAAGCUGCUUAAGCUGCUAGAGAGAUGUUUGAGCACUUUAGAGCAGUUGCCGCUCUUACAGAGGACCAUAGCUCACAACCAGACAUUUCCUGCAUUGCACCUCAAGCUCCUGCUCACACAUGAAUGGGGAUCUCUAAGGGAGGAAUUCCUCAGAGUAAGCCAGUAGCACCAUGGAAAUCUGCUGUUGCUGGAGCUACAUGGAAAGAGCUGCUCUAAUUAAAAGCGAGUAAUAAAAACCAAAAAACAAAACAGAAGGCUGUCUAACUCAGAUGCCUGCCAUUGAAUCCCCUUGUCCUAAGUGGACUAUUUUGUUGGGCCUCAGUAGAGGAGGAUGUGCUUAGACCUAGGGCAGUUGUAUGUCCAGGGUACCCAAAGGGGCUUUCCCUUUUCUGAGGAAAAGCGGAGCAGGCACUGAGGGAAAGGAUUUGUAAAGGAGGACCUGGCAGGAGAGGAGGGAUGGGGAAAAGUCAGGAUGUCAAGUGAAGAAAUAGUCAAUAGUGAGGAUUGUCAAUCCUAUCUUACCAUAGUUCAACCAGCAGAUUCAAGACAAUACAGAGGUUUAAGUAGUGUUUAGAUACAAGUUUUCUGUGUUAGUGAACAGCAAAUAACAGCACCACUAUGUAUCAUUAAGUACUGCUUAUUAAGCAAAGCGCGGGGAUCACAGCUGCUCUCUAGUUUCUGCUGCAUCUCACUGGCUCAAGGAACACCUUACUUUGCCUCUGCACACAGACCGAACACAAUCUGUGACUUGUCCUGUCUCAAGCCUGAAGGCCCGGCAUCGCCUCAGUUCCUGAUCCCACAGUUUAACUGCGCCUCCUUCCUUUGACCUAGGUAUAUAAAAACAAAACCCAAGUAAGUAUUUAUAAUUGACCACUACAAUAAUUUUCACUAUAAACACUUAGUUGUCAGGAGUAUUUUAAAUACCUUAUUUAUAACUUCCAGUAUUCUAAAUUUUCAGGAAAUUUACGGAUACAUACUGUAUUUCAAUCAAGAUACAUAUACUCAGUUCAGUUAAUUUUAUUUUGUGAAAUAAAAUUUUCUUCUGACACAAGCAUAAUUGUAUUUAGUCCAUGAUUCAUCACAAUGCACUUUUCAUUAUAGCUCUCCACUAAGAAAAUCCACAUUUUUUAAAUAAUUGUGUGUAUGUGUACAUACCACGGGGUGAUGAUGGAGGUCAGAGGACGACUCUGGAAUCUGUUGCCCCUUCUACCUCUUUACCUGGGGAUUGAACUCAUCCCCAGGAAUGCUAAGCUAUCAUACCAGCCCAACAAAACC
rnacentral:lncRNA from 1 species